ACUCAGCCCCAGAGAAUCCAGCUGCCUGAAGCAGGCGAACAGGGCCCCCGGAGUGCCUGAGAAGGGCCAGCCAUGUUCUGCCCAAAAGCUCUGCCACCCGGGGCCUGGGUCAACAGAGGUGGGUGUGACCUGGAAGGUGGGCUCCCAGGCAGGUAUCACAGCGGGCAGCAGGCUUCCAACCCGCCCAUGCCACUGCCAGCAAAACGGCUAGCACGAGAGACUUUUCCUCUGUUUUUUUUUUGUUUUUUGUUUGUUUGUUUGUCUGUUUUGAGAUGGAGUCUUUCUCUGUUGCCCAGGCUAAAGAGCAGUGGUGCAAUCUCGGCUCACUGCAACCUCCGCCUCCCGGAUUCAAGUGAUUCUCUCACCUCAGCCUCCAGAGUAGCUGGGAUUAUAGGCACCCACCACCACACUCGGCUAAUUUUUUGUAUUUUUAGUAGAGAUGGGGUUUCACCAUGUUGGCCAGGCUGGUCUAGAACUCCUGACCUCAGGUGAUCCACCCAUCUCGGCCUCCCAAAGUGCUGGGAUUACAGGCGUGAGCCACCGCACCUGAACUUUUCCUCUUAUGAAAGGAGCAGACACCAGAAACGACGCAGGCUCCCUCCUCCAGACAGAACCACGCUCAGCGUGAAACGCACCUGGGUCAGAGUCACCUAAGAUUGGUCAGCAAACAACAGGGAGAAACGAACGUGGUGAUGGCGUCAGUUCAUGCCUCAAAGACUGCAGAGCUGGGGGAAAGAAGUGAAUGUGCUGGAAUAUUCUGGCAGCUCAGU
rnacentral:lncRNA from 1 species